rnacentral:rRNA from 1 species
CAAAGGAGACUGCCAGUGAUAAACUGGAGGAAGGUGGGGAUGACGUCAAGUCAUCAUGGCCCUUACGACCAGGGCUACACACGUGCUAUAAUGGCGCAUACAAAGAGAAGCGACCUCGCGAGAGCAAGCGGACCUCAUAAAGUGCGUCGUAGUCCGGAUUGGAGUCUGCAACUCGACUCCAUGAAGUCGGAAUCGCUAGUAAUCGUGGAUCAGAAUGCCACGGUGAAUACGUUCCCGGGCCUU